AAGGAUAUGGCGGAAUAGGUAGACGCAAUAGUUUUAGGCACUAUCCUCUGUAAGUUCAAGUCUUACUAUCUUUA
rnacentral:tRNA from 1 species